rnacentral:rRNA from 1 species
AGGGAAAGGUGAAAAGCACCCCGGGAGGGGAGUGAAACAGUUCCUGAAACCGUGCGCCCACAAACCGUCGGAGCCUCCGCGUGGGGUGACGGCGUGCCUAUCGAAAAAUGAGUCUGCGAGUCAGUGGCGGGUGGCGAGCAUAAGCCGUGUGGCGUAUGCGUAGCGAAAGCGAGUCUUAAAAGGCGUUUGUAGUCGCUUGUCCUGGACCCGAAGCGGGAUGAUCUAGCCCUGGGCAGGUUGAAGCGCGGGUAAGACCGCGUGGAGGACCGAACCCACCUGGGUUGAAAACCGGGGGGAUGACCUGGGGCUAGGGGUGAAAGGCCAAUCAAAUUCCGUGAUAGCUGGUUCUCUCCGAAAUGCAUUUAGGUGCAGCGUCGGUCGAUUGCGUCGCGGGGGUAGAGCUACCGGAUGCUUGCGGGCCCUUGUUGGGUACCAACAGCAGCCGAACUCCGAAUGCCGUUGACGUGUAUUCCGGCAGUGAGUCGGCGGGGGAUAAGCUCCGUCGUCGAGAGGGAGACAGCCCAGACCGUCGUCUAAGGUCCCGAAGCGUGUGCUAAGUGGGAAAGGAUGUGGAGUCGCAUAGACAGCCAGGAGGUUGGCUCAGAAGCAGCCAUCCUUGAAAGAGUGCGUAACAGCUCACUGGUCUAGUGGUUCCGCGCCGACAAUGUAGCGGGGCUCAAGCACGCCACCGAAGACGCGGCAGCGUCCGUUUGGAUGCUGGGUAGGAGAGCGUCCCCAUCGGGGCGAAGCGGCGGCGCAAGCCUGCCGUGGACCGUUGGGGAGUGAGAAUGCAGACAUGAGUAGCGAGAGGCGGGUGCGAAUCCCGCCCGCUGGAUGACCAAGGGUUCCGGGGCCACGUUCGUCGUCCCCGGGUGAGUCGGGUCCUAAGGCGAGGCCGACAGGCGUAGUCGAAUGGAUGAACGGGUGGAUAUUCCCGUACCGACCAUGGACCGGCAAAACCGAGACGGUGAGUACUAACCUCCGCCUCGUGGUGGUUCCUUCCUUCGGGUUGGUUCCGCCGCGUGGUGUUGGGAGCGUAGCCGCAGUAGGUCAGCGCAGGGGUGACACGGAAUGGGAGCCGGCCGCGGAGGUGGUUUUCCGUGGUCAAGCACGCAGCCAGUCAUGUAGGCAAAUCCGCAUGGCGCGCAUGGCGAGGUGUGAUGAUGGGAGCCGUUAUGGUUCGAUAUCCGGUUGUCCAGGCCGUCGAGAAAAGCCUCGGCGUGAGGGCCAUGGCCGCCCGUACCCCAAACCGACACUGGUGGUCAGGUAGAGAAUACCAAGGCGAUCGAGCGAAUCCUGGUCAAGGAACUCGGCAAAUCACUCCCGUGCCUUCGGUAUAAGGGAGACCCACUGGGGUGAAGGACCUUGCGUCCGGAGCUUUGGUGGGUGGCACAGACCAGGGGGUAGCGACUGUUUACCAAAAACACAGGUGCAUGCGAAGGCGAAAGCCGCUGUAUAUGCACUGACGCCUGCCCGGUGCCGGAAGGUUAAGAGGAUCCGUCAAUCCUUCGGGAUGAAGCGGUGAAUUCAAGCCCCGGUAAACGGCGGUGGUAACUAUAACCAUCCUAAGGUAGCGAAAUUCCUUGUCGGGUAAGUUCCGACCUGCACGAAUGGCGUAACGACUUCCCCACUGUCUCGACCAGGAGCUCGGCGAAAUUGCAGUACGAGUAAAGAUGCUCGUUAAGCGCAGAAGGACGAAAAGACCCCGGGACCUUUACUAUACCUUGGUAUUGGCAUUAGGCGCGGAUUGUGUAGCAUAGGCGGGAGGCUUCGAGGCGGGUGCGCCAGCAUCCGCGGAGCCGCAAGGUGAAAUAC